rnacentral:ncRNA from 1 species
UCGGGGAGUUGAAAAUGAGCAUAGAUCCAGAGAUUCCCAAAUAGGUUAACCUUUUUAACUGCUGCUGAAUGCAUGGGCAUGCAAGAGACAACCUGGAAAACUGAAACAUCUUAGUAGCCAGAGGAAUAGAAAGAAAAAGCGAUUCCCGUAGUAGUGGCGAGCGAAAUGGGAGCAGCCUAAACCAUGAAAAUGGGGUUGUGGGAGAGCACAAUAUAAGCUCUGUGAUGCUAGGCAAAGCAGUUGAGUCCUGCACCCUAGAUGGUGAGAGUCCAGUAGCCAAAAGCAUCAUUGGGUUAUGCUCUAACCUGAGUAGCAUGGGGCACAUGGAAUCCCAUGUGAAUCAGCAAGGACCACCUUGCAAGGAUAAAUACUCCUAGGUGACCGAUAGCGAAGUAGUACCGUGAGGGAAAGGUGAAAAGAACCCCCAUCGGGGAGUGAAAUAGAACAUGAAACCGUAAGCUCCCAAGCAGUGGGAGGAAAAUGAUAUCUUUGACCGCGUGCCUGUUGAAGAAUGAGCUGAUGACUUAUAGGCAGUGGCUUGGUUAAGGGAACCAACCGAAGACGUAGUGAGAGUGAGUCUUCAUGGGGCAAUUGUCACUGCUUAUGGACCCAAACCUGGGUGAUCUAUCCAUGACCAUGAUGAAGCUUGGGUGAAACUAAGUGGAGGUCUGAAUCAACUGAUGUUGAAAAAUCAGUGGAUGAGUCAUGGUUAGGGGUGAAAUGCCACUCGAACCUAGAGCUAGUUGGUUCUCCCCAAAAUGCAUUGAGGCACAGCUGUUGACUGGACCAUCUAGGGGUAAAGCACUGUUUCGGUAUGAGCUGCGAGAGCGGUACCAAAUCGAGGCAAACUCUGAAUACUAGAUUGCCCCAAUAAAAGGGGUAAAGGUCAGCCAGUGAGACGAUGGGGGAUAAGCUUCAU